UGGAUAAAUAUCAAUGAGACAGCAAUCACACAACAAAAAAUUUGAAAACACCUAGAGGCUGACAUACAGUUUUCAACCAAUAAAAUUAAGAAUGGAAAUGGGGAAUGUGUCAAAGAGACAACAACCCGACCAUAGAACAGACAACAGCAGAAGGUCACCAACAGGUCUUCAAUGCAGCGAGAAAUUCCUACACCCGGAUGCAUCCUUCAGCUGGCCCCUAAACAAAUAUAAAUACUAGUUCAGUGAUAAUGGAAGUCAUACUAAACUCCAAAUUGUACACAAGAAACUAAAAUCAAAAAUAAUACAAGACUAACAAAGGCUAGAGGCUCCUAACUUGGGGGUUAAACAUGUUUAUGAGAUCUCAAUCCUCCACCUAUACCUCUAGCUAAUGUAGAAAAGUAAAAGCAUAACAAUACGC
rnacentral:lncRNA from 1 species